ACCAGAUUUAGCUUUAGGAGCUGUGCUUCAGUUGUAUCGUCGCUGUUUGUAUGCGGUGGAUACCCAGAUUAGUAUAGGAUUAGUUUACGCUCGUGCUGAGAUGCCGAGCUUAUUUUACAGUAGUGUGUAGAUUGUUCCAGACUGUCGGGUGCCGUCGGGGUUGACGGUGGACCCAGGUUUCUGUAUCACCGCUGAUAGUGCGAGGUGGAUACUCAGAUGAGCGUAGGUUGAGUUUACGCUCGCGCUGAGGAGCCGAGUGUGUUGUUACAGUAGAGUUAGACUGUGUUGGACCAUAUCGGGUGCCGUCGGGGUUGACGGUGGACCCAGAUUUAUGUAGUUUGCAUCAGAUUGUGCUAAGGGCAUGUGAGGUUUG
rnacentral:lncRNA from 1 species